UACGUAGGGGGCGAGCGUUGUCCGGAAUUAUUGGGCGUAAAGGGCGCGCAGGCGGUCUUUUAAGUCUGAUGUGAAAUCUCGUAGCUUAACUACGAGCGGUCAUUGGAAACUGGAAGACUUGAGGACAGAAGAGGAGAGUGGAAUUCCACGUGUAGCGGUGAAAUGCGUAGAGAUGUGGAGGAACACCAGUGGCGAAGGCGACUCUCUGGUCUGUAGCUGACGCUGAGGCGCGAAAGCGUGGGGAGCGAACAGG
rnacentral:rRNA from 1 species